AUACGUAGGUGGCAAGCGUUAUCCGGAUUUACUGGGUGUAAAGGGCGCGUAGGCGGGCAGGCAAGUCAGAUGUGAAAUCUCCGGGCUCAACCCGGAAAUUGCAUUUGAAACUGCAGGUCUUGAGUAUCGGAGAGGCAAGCGGAAUUCCUAGUGUAGCGGUGAAAUGCGUAGAUAUUAGGAGGAACACCAGUGGCGAAGGCGGCUUGCUGGACGACAACUGACGCUGAGGCGCGAAAGCGUGGGGAGCAAACAGGAUUAGAUACCCUGGUAGUCCACGCCCUAAACGAUGAAUACUAGGUGUGGGGGGACUGACCCCCUCCGUGCCGGAGUAAACACAAUAAGUAUUCCACCUGGGGAGUACGACCGCAAGGUUGAAACUCAAAUGAAUUGACGGGG
rnacentral:rRNA from 1 species